UAUCCAGUCUCCAGUUGAUGGGCAAUUGAGCUGUUUCCAAGUUUUAGAAAGCACACUCUUUUUACUUAGACUUGUUUUCCUAUUUCCUGCAGCACCUUGUUGUGUAGUUUGGAGCAACUUUAUCUCUUUGAAGCUCAGUUUAUCUAUCUGUUCAAGGAGGUUGGUAAAACCAACCCAGAAUGUUGUGAGGAUUGGGUGACAUAAGGUGAAAAGUGCUUAGCAUGGUUUCUUGGACACAAUAAGUGUUUAGUAAGUCAGAGCAUGGUGACAGGGGAGUCACAUAUGGCAUGGGGAGUGUCUUGCACUACCAGUGUCCUCCUCUAGAUGGGAGCAGGAGCCAAAGAAAAGGCCCUUGGGUUGUUCCCAGUGGGCUGUGAGCUUCAGGUCCCCAGCGACACCACAGCCUGGUGAUAGAACAAGCAAGGUCAGUGAGGUCAGGCAGGAGGGUUUCUGGGCUGGGAAACCCUCUGGGGUCAUUCAGCACAGGUCCAGGGGGAGAGAGAGAGAAAGAGUGGGGUCAUGAGGGGUGAUGAAGUGAACAGGCAUCCAGGAGCAGUGGGGACACUGUCCCUUUUAGAACAGAAAGCUGUCCCUGCUCUGGCUCGUGGGUCUGGCUUUUGAAGCUCAUUCAUCUGGCAGCUGGCAGAGUAGAUGGGAGGCUGUGUGUGAUGUCACAGAGCUGGGAACCAGGGAAUGUUGGGGACAGAGGAGCCUGGACUGGACCAUAAAUGUCAGAAGGAGGUGGGAUCUCUCAUGACCUUCUCCUCAGUGGCCCUUCCCUCUGUCCCCCAUGUCUGUCAGGUUGGCUGGGGUGGUUUUACUUCAUGUGUCUCUCAUCCUUCUUGGAUUAUCAGGGCAGCUAGGCCAUGUUCUUCUCAGGAGGGUGCCAGAGGCAAGAGAGGGAGCCUCACCAGGAAAAUCAUGUCUGCUGGAGUCUCAUGUGUUAAGUUUCUAUUGGCCAAGCAAUGCAUGAUGGAGCCCAGAGGAAUGAAUAUACGCUUCACCCAAGAAGAUAUGGCAGAGAAGAUUUGGGGCCAAUACUUUGCUAUGCCACAGAGUCUCAAUGAGUAGAAUCCUUCCUGGGGCUGGAACUACUGACAGGUGGAACAGACUGCUGAGGAUUAUAAGUUGGACCAUCAAGGUGUGGGUACAAGCUAAUAUGAACAGUGAAUUUCAGAAAGCCAUCAAUAUAUUCUCCGGUUCCCCACUGGGAAGGAAAAAUUUUGAGGCUGAUAUUGUAGAGAUGGGAAAAUUUAAUAUGACUCAAACUGAUAUCGACAGAACACCAGUGUAGCUCCAACUCCAGCUCUACACAGUGGAAAGAAAU